ensembl:snRNA U6 U6 spliceosomal RNA
GUGCUCACUUCGGCAGCAUACAUUCUAACAGCGGAAUGAUACAGAGAAAAACAGCAUGGCCCCUGCACAAGGAUGAUAUGCAAAUUCAUGAAACAUUCCACAUAUUU